ACCCUCUCGUGUUUUCUAAGUCUAAUGAGCAGGUUUUCAGCUACUGUGAAAUGUGUCGCCUCAAAUUUUGUCAUGAUGUCAGCACAUAAUCCAUCUGACA